rnacentral:tRNA from 1 species
UGCAUCGGCCGGGAAUCGAACCCGGGGCCGCCCGCGUGGUAGGCGAGCAUUCUACCACUAAACCACCGAUGC